UACGGGGGGGGGCAAGCGUUGUUCGGAAUUACUGGGCGUAAAGGGCUCGUAGGCGGCCAACUAAGUCGGAUGUGAAAUCCCCAGGCUUAACCUGGGAACUGCAUCCGAUACUGGAUGGCUUGAAUCCGGGAGAGGGAUGCGGAAUUCCAGGUGUAGCGGUGAAAUGCGCAGAUAUCAGGAGGAACACCCGUGGCGAAAGCGGCUCUCUGGAACGGUACUGACGCUGAGACGCGAAAGCGUGGGGAGCGAACAGG
rnacentral:rRNA from 1 species